AGAUUGAAUGGCGGUAGGAUUAUCCACAAAGGUUUUUCACGGAAGGUUACUCCCAACAAAUGAUAACGCUUGCCUCGGCGCCUUUUGACCACAACCCAAAAAAACGUCGAACCCCAAACGUGAAAAACAUAAACCAUAUAAACCCAAAAAUAAAAGGCUAAAAAAAUAUAUGUAUGAAUAGAACAAACGAUCAGAAAAAAACUUACGACUUGGCAACAAAUCCCUUUUCAAAACACCGUCUAAUCGAACUCAAAUUUCAAAAAACAACUCUUGGUAGCAACAAAUUCUACGGCGUAAUUCGUUUCACCGCAGCCGUCUUUUCGCUUUCGUAGCUAUCAAGGAAGUAUUGGUGCUUAUUUAUUGGAAAUUUUUGAGUUCCUUCAAGGAUUUAUAGUGAUAUAAAAUUGAAUAAACGAGAAAGAUAUAUCAGGAAAAGGUUCAUAUUCGUCGGGGGUAAUCCACCCUGCAUAAAUGUACAACCUACGACGAUGCACACAUUCUCGAGAGCUGACAACCCCGCGAUUUUUUAGAAGACGAACGGUGUCUACGCGGUCUUAAGCCUCAACAUUGGCUACGUAACGGGAUUUUCGUUUUAACUUUCGUCACAAAAGCGUAUGUUGAUAUUUUUGUGUUAUUUAAUACAGUUAGUAAUCUUUGCAUUUCUUUAUACUUUAUUUGUGUUUUGUAUACAACAUUUUAUAUUUUUUAUAAUGUUCCAUCUGUGUUUUCGAAACUGACUUGAUUUAACCUCAAUGCAGAAUCACGUGUUUGAUACCUUUAACUUUUAUUGUUUGAAAUUACAUUCAUUUUGGUAUAAAUGUUUGCUGAAUUUAUUCUUUUUAUGUUUUGAUUUCAUGGUCUUGGUUUCAAAUCAAAUUUAUAGUUUGAUCAUUCAUUUAAAUUUGUGAAAGUUAUCGAAUUUCACGUGUUUGUCAACAAAUGAACGAAAACAAAACGGGCAGGCACUUUCUGCUACCUACGCUCAUGUGUCAAACUUUGAACUCGAGUUGAAAAACUCCACUUUCUUCUCUAGUUGUACAAACAACUAAAAUUACCCGAAAUCGUCAGGAAUCCUUCAUUUUCAUGCCUAAUACUUUUAUCCCAGGUAAUUUUAGUUGCCAUAAGAGAGACACUAAUACGUUAUCUGAUUACCUACUUUAUCUGCGGCUUGUCAUUGUACCG